GACGGGGGAUGCGAGCGUUAUCCGGAAUGAUUGGGCGUAAAGGGUCCGCAGGUGGCCCGGUCAGUCCGCUGUCAAAGCCUGGGGCUCAACCCUGGAGAGGCGGCGGAGACCACCGGGCUUGAGUCCGGUAGGGGCAGAGGGAAUUCCCGGUGGAGCGGUGAAAUGCGUAGAGAUCAGGAAGAACACCAGUGGCGAAAGCGGCGACCUGGCCCGACAUUGACGCUCAUGCACGAGAGCGUGGGGAGCAAACAGG
rnacentral:rRNA from 1 species